UGGCUCAGGACGAACGCUGGCGGCGUGCCUAACACAUGCAAGUCGAGCGAGGAGAUUCCUUCGGGAUGAUCCUAGCGGCGGACGGGUGAGUAACACGUGGGCAACCUGCCUCAUAGAGAGGAAUAGCCUUCCGAAAGGGAGAUUAAUACCUCAUAACAUUGCAGUUUCGCAUGGAACAGCAAUUAAAGGAGCAAUCCGCUAUGAGAUGGGCCCGCGGCGCAUUAGCUAGUUGGUGAGGUAACGGCUCACCAAGGCGACGAUGCGUAGCCGACCUGAGAGGGUGAUCGGCCACAUUGGGACUGAGACACGGCCCAGACUCCUACGGGAGGCAGCAGUGGGGAAUAUUGCACAAUGGGGGAAACCCUGAUGCCAGCAACGCCGCGUGAGUGAUGACGGCCUUCGGGUUGUAAAGCUCUGUCUUCAGGGACGAUAAUGACGGUACCUGAGGAGGAAGCCACGGCUAACUACGUGCCAGCCGCCGC
rnacentral:rRNA from 1 species